GUGCUUUCCAUUGCAUUACAGUGUCACAAGGUCCUUUUGCAAUGCUGUGCCUAGGUGGAGUGAAGGUGCAUGAAUGCUAGAGCUGCUCUGUCAUCUCCUUCUGUUGACACUGGGACACAGGAACUACCUGUAUGCAGUCCAAGUACUUCCAGAGUUCCACAGUGAGGUCAGAAGAAAGGGAACGAUGCAGCUAUGACUGAGGGAUUUUAUAAUUUCAAGAUCAUCUGCCUAAGUGACAAUAGUGACAAUACUUAAAAUGAUGCCAUGAAAACUGAGGAUGCAAAGAUGUCCAGGCUGACCAAAACUCUGGAAACUUGAGAGAGAGACUGCAAGAACUCCAUGAUAACUGCAGCUAGAUUCUGGAUCGGGUGCAAUAAGGAAGCAUGUGCUGACCAUCGUUGGGGAACCUGGGAGAAGAGCUUGCUCAGCAUGACCAUCUUGAAUUUGCAGCAUCUAUGUUAGUUGCAAGGAACUGCUCAUUCCUGGAGAACAAGGUAGGAUCAGCCUCCAAGAAACCUAUCAGGGAGGCAAAGAGAACUGCAGCACUGUAACCAGGUAAGACCCAGCGAAGGUAAGAGCACAAGGACAGUAAACUUAAAAUCCAGCAAUACAUAAAGUGACAGAAGAGAGAUGUGCCCCUUUCACUGAUUGUUGAUGCUCUUGUUUUUUUUCCUCUACUCAACACCUGCAGAGAUUUUCCUAGUACCAACCACAGAAACACAACUUUUCUGUGAAAUCCUUGACUGAAUCUCACCACAAGCAUUAAUUAUGCUCAUAAGAACUGCUGCCAGUGGAGAAUAAACAUCACAUGCAACUUAUCUCAAAGCAUCGGGUGAGAUCCUCAUUUGGUUUCAUAGGGAAGGGCAACUACACAUGAUUUUUUCCAUCUACACUCCCUAGCCAUUCACUCCAGUAUUUCUCAGAACACACACACCAGAUAAAAGAUUUGGUCAUGGCUCUCUUGAGAAAUACUGAGCGCUUAAGUGCACAGCAGAUAGAAUCACAGUUACUACCAAGUGUAAUUUUCCAUGCUUUACUACUUUAACUUAGAUUGUGUAUAUUCAUAGUGAUUUCAAAACCUGCUGAAGUCAGCUGAGUCCUACAUAUUGGUUCUGUUCAUCCUGCAGGUAAGUCCUAAGUUGGUGUUCAACUCUGUAACAAGUUACAAGUUACCUAAACUCCAUGUCUUUGAACUGUGUUUUGCUUCAAGAUGAUUUUGUUUGAUACCAUCCUCCAAACCUGUCUGUUUUUCUGUAUCAGCUUUUCUGUGAUCCUGUGGUGUCUCCAUGGACAGAAGUAUCAUCCUCAGCUUAAUGACAGGGAAAACUAAAAAAGAUAUCCCCAAACACUGCUUUUCAAAAAGACUGCUUUAUCAAGUGAAAUAAAUUAUAAAUAUUCCCUAAAUUAUUGGAAUUUAUUUGGAACAGUAUCUCCACUCUUACAUUUGGCAUACAGUCCACUUGCUCUUUCCAUUUCCAAACAACAAUGUUAGUUAGAAUUAAUAAGUACUGGUUGUGAUCCAGCCUAUUAACGUAGCAAGAUCGAUCCAUGGGGUGUUUUAUAGCUUGUUAAAAUUUUAUUAGCUAACACAGAUCAUCAGUAAAAACUGUUUAAUUGGCUAAUUGCUACAGCUGUUUCUGUCAGCAAUGCUUGUGAUUCUUUCCAUGUAUACAAUAUUGUCUAGUCCUGAAAAAGCCUGACAUUCAUCUUUACAGGAGACUCUCUUACUACAGUUUGAUAUUAUGUGAAAAUACAUUAGUUUCUCCUAACACCUGUUAUGAAAAGCACCAGCUUAGGUUAAAGCUUCGCACAGAACAAUCUUUCUUAAAAUUUUAGAAAAUUAAAAAGAUUCAGAGUCUUUCACUGUCUUGGUUUGAUAAGCAGUGACCUUGGUUUGAUAAGCAGUGCUACGCUGGGCUGAGUAGGGAUUACUACAGCAUCUCAUAGUCUUUGUUCAAGCUGUAUAGCAGCUGCUUCACAAUCUCAACCCAGCUAAGCAAGUAUUUGCACUAGAAAACAUUUAGUAAGCAGUAUUUGGCCAGCUGGAGUUAGAAGAAUGAUGAUAUUUCACAAUUAUUAUUAGCAGCACGUAGUUUUAUUUGAAUUCUAUUCCAUGAGAUAAAAUUAGGUUUAAUGUGCAGAAAGUUUUCAUUUUCUCCAUAAACAACUUGCUCUGUCUGCUUGUAAUAUGAAGAUUGUGUUUAAAAACAUCAAGACUAUAUUUCUGCUCACUGAAACAGCUCAUAAUUGCUAUAUAAGAACAGUAGAAUUCCAUGCUGUACUGCAGAUGUCUGUGCAAGGUUUAUCAAUUUUUCUUUUAAAAUUUCUUUUUUACUAUUCUAGCAGAUUAUCUAGGGUGCAUUUUUAAACAAUUUACUCCUUAUUUAAUACUGUGAGGCAUUCCUGACAGUGAAAUUCUAAAACCCAUCUUGUACUUGGAAUAUGACUUUUUACUUUGCCUUUUAGUACUACCUUGAUGCAAUGCACAAAUACUCCACUCUGAAAUCCAGCAAAACUUUCUUUGCUUGUUGAACAACAGCAGUAGUUAUGCAACAGAGAGCAUCAUCCCAGCAGAUUGUUAAAUCUGCUUGCUAAUUAUACCUUAAGUGUUGAUCAAUGCUGGAGCUGAAUUAAUGCAUUACAAAUACAUGACAUGUGUCUUAAGCUACAAAUAAGUGUACAGUCUUCUGAAUAAUGAAGUGAAAAUUAAAUUUAACCACAGUUGAACUGGGAAAUUAUAUAUGAAAAUAAUAGCUUAUACUACUAAAGCCUGAAUGCUUGUAAAGCUUGUAUGAGCUUAUCAAGUCAUAAAAAACUAGAGUAACUGCAAUUUAUAUUACUCUUUCAGAGUCUUGCACGUAUUAUUGUAGCUCAACUCUCCUAAUGUGUAAGUAUCUGAUUUUUAACUGUGAUCCAAUAUUUCCUACCCUUGAAAAGGUCAUCUUUCAGUGUAUUUAUAGAGCAGGCCAAGAAAAAAGAAGAAAAAAAUGUAACAAUUAGCAUACAAUUAGCAUUACAACUAUAAUUCAUAGAUCAAAAAAAUAAAAAAUACUCAAUUCUUAAUGCCCACCUGCCUUUCUACUCCAAACCCACUUCUACUCUCACUUGUUUUCUGGUUAUUUCCAUGAAAUAUGAAGAUCCUUUCAAAUGUUAAUUAUUCAUAAAGUAUAGAACUGGAAAGAGAAUACUUCUCACUUCGUAAGAUUUUGAGAGAAUUCACAUUUCUGAGCUUGACUUAAACAGAAACUGUCAAGGUUCCUAUGAACUGUGAUGGUGGCUGGAUGUAAUUCAUACCGUGCAUGGUACCAAUGGCACAUACCACUCUAACAGCUUUUGGGAUAUCCUGGCCAAUCAACUUCAUCUGCUCUUUCCAAGCAAAAUUACUGAGAAUAGUCAUUGCAUGAGUGAAUUUAAACGAGUAAUGAAAUAUUAAGAUAAAACAUAUCCUGAUAAACGUAAUAUAUAUGUAACAUAUGUAAUAUAUGUAAGACAACUUACAAACUUACACUGUAAGUUUUUUUUUUUCUGAGACAGAGCCAAGAGGAUGUGAAUAUUAUGUAUCACAGUACGGAUAAUCUCAGAGCAAAGGCAUGCAGCCACUGACAGCAUUGGUUAUACUGCAGUCUAUCACCUGACCUUUUGGGGGCAAAAACCCUGAAUGCUUUGCAAUUUCAUACAUCUCCUACCAGGGAAUGGAAACCUAUAAACAAGGACCCUGACAGACGACAUCUGGAGAUAGAACAGCCAGCCUUAUGUAUUCAGAAAAGGAAGAUGGCCAAUGGUCUCCUACAAGCACUUACGUUCCACUACCCUUUAAAAUGAGGGUGUGUUCUGAUAACAACAUCUCACAAAGGAAGAAAACACUCACCAGUGCUUCUCUCUCCUGAUAAUACACAUUCAUCCAUAACCAAUGUGCUAUAACACAAUGGGACCUCAGAUCUAAUGACUUGUCUAAUAAAUACAAGCCACUUUUCCAACAUCUCUGAACAAACAAGGAAUGUGUUUUUAUUAAAAAACAAUUGUAAAAACUUGGUAUUUAAAGCAUUUGGAGCAGAAAUGCUAAGUCAAGACCUGACCAGCGAUUGGGAAGGCAGGGCCAAUCCAGGGGAGCACAGCUGUCUGAAAUGCACCUGAGUAAGUGGAGGAGGUGGAGCCAAGAUCCAUCACAUCCCAGACCUCAUUUAAGAAUUGGCAGUGGAGACAGGGGUUUUCUUUGAGGAUUCCUGCCUCUCUGAGACUUUCUGAAGUUUUCCAACAUCGCUCUGAAAUUUAUGCAGUCAUCGCUGGAUGCAGCUGGCUCAUAUCUGGUAGCUACGAACACCAGACAUGGAUAUUUUGGCACAAAUUGGAAAUCCUUGUUUUCAGCCACCUCUGCUUCCAGCUGCUUAAACGAUUUUCAUCAAUUUGGUUGUCUGGCUUUCUGCUAGAGUUCCGAGAACAAAUGUUCACUGUUUUAGCAGUUACUUCCUGUACAUAUCUGAAGAGAUUGCAGUAAGUUUCGUAUAACAAAGGUUGUAAUCAUUUGAACUUUAGCAACAAUAUUUUAAAAAGUAGUUCUCAUCAAGAUGACAGUAGUUGUCCCUCCCCCAAAUUCACUGUAGACAGCUUAGACAGAGUACAAUUCACACCAUUAUACAAUGGUGGAUGUUGGUACACAAAACUUACAGGUCUAAGAGACAGCUGAAUGCCACAACAAACAAAAACAUGAAGAAAUAUCCACUUAUUCUGACCAGUCAGAAUGGUGGUCUAAAGGAAGAAAAUUGCUACAUAAACAUCUAUAUAUGAACAGCAGAGAAAACGAAUGAAACUUCCAAGUUUCUCUGGAAAGGUUCUCUCUUCACUUCCUGCUCCAACAGAAGAAGCAUUUUUUAAUCUGGAUAAUGUGAUAAUUUAAUCUGGAUAAUGUGAUAAUUACUGCGGAAAGGUUCAGUAUACUCUAACCUUUGCAACCCUUGUGCAAUUCUGGAAGGAUUUCAAACAAGUUUCCUUUGAAAAAAAAGACUAAGUACUAAAAAGAGAGUAAAUAAUUACUAUCUUGGUAUAGUUCUGCCUAAGCAGCAUGAAAUAUAAUAGGAACCUGCAAUAACUGCCUUCUCCCCAACUCCCUAAGAAUGAAGAAUACUGUUACUGUUUCAGAGCCACCAGAGACAGCCUUUCUAUGACAAAGAAAGAACAAGAAACAAAGCUAAACCAGUGCAGAACUAUUCCUGCUGACCCUUUUUGGGAAUGUCAACAGACCUUGUUUCUGUAACAACGAGUAUACUGUGACAAAGAUUAUCAAAAUAAUGCUAUGUGCCAUUUGAACAUAAAUUACAUUAUCUUUGAUGCCUUAAAUCAAAAGCACUUGAAGUCAGAAAGGAGGAAAAUUGCUGAAUCACAGUGAAGCACUGUCAAGGUUUAUAAUCUCUCUAGUGUAAGUACAGCUAUGAAGUAAUGGCUUUUGAGAUACUUUCAGUUUUUCUAAAAGUCCCUCAUCUCAUAAUGCAUAUAUAAAACAAAAAUAUCCUCAGCAAGCAACCUCUCAUUCCUUUUAAAAAUGUAGUGUGAAGAACACUUAGCCUUGGCAUAAUCCACAUCAGUUAUCAAAUUUUAAAACUUCAGACUGUUUGCAAUGUAAAAAGUGCUUUGAUUUCCAACUCUUUUUCAUUAAAACAGAUCGACCACAGCAAGGCACAGCAGUUAAAAAUUAUGGUUGGAACAUAGCUGAGAAUUGAAUACAAGCAGGAACACACUGAGAUUCUGUGUUUCACAUAUGCACAUAGCAAAUUGCUCAAAGAAGGAAGGAAACAGCCACAUUAUCUGCUAGAGCCUGUUCUAUCAUAUGCAUUUUGUGUUGAUUUUAGAUAAGUAAUGAAAUUCAUGUCAGGCUCUAAAUUUAACAGCAUGACUAUCUCCAGUGUUUUUGACAUUGUUUUGGAACUGCUUUGUCUGGUAUUUUGAUCCAGGUUAAAGAUUUUAACUGGGGAUAAAAACAUGUCUACAAAGUCUUAAUCUAAGAACAGAAUACCAAAGCCUUCAGCUCCCUUCAUUCCUUUGCUGUUAUCUGCCCCACCUACCUUUUUUAAUCUUAACUAAAAUUAAAACUUCA